UCCCCUGCCCACUUGCUCCCAGGAGCUUUCGGGUCUCAGUUCCCCCAGUUAGCAGCUGCUGCAUCAGGGCGAGGGCGGACAGGGGGAUACGGCCCUGUGGUCGCCCCCCCGAGUGCUAGGAAAGAGCAGGGAGCAGACAGGGCUGUAUGUGCCACCCCUCCCAUGGGGGAGCUGGUAGACUUAUUUCUGUGCCAUUUCCAUAAUGCUAGUGCCAGAGCCCCUCCCUGCAGCCUGCUGGAAGGGUCCCGUUGCCACGCGGCCCCCCGGGUCAGAUCCUGCGCCACACAGCGUCUCUGUGAGGGCUGUUGUGGGGGGAGGUUGGGAGAGGCUGAGCUCCCAGCCCUGGGGCAGCGGGAUGCUGAGGGUGACCUUCCUGGCCUCUGGUGCCAGCCGCCGCAUGGGCCCAGAUGUCCAGAUGUGCCUGCAGCGCGGAGGGAGAACAUGCGUGGGAAGCACGUGACCGUGAGAAGACCGGCAGGCAGGCCCCUCUCCCAGACUGAGGACACACAUGUGCACACACCACGCACACCAGGCACGUCACAGCUGUCCACCCACCCUCGACCCCUUUCUGAGCCAGUUCCCCUGCCACAACGCUGGGCAACCCUGUGGCCAGCCCGUCUGGGGCGCCGGCAGCCCUGGCUGCACCUUCAUCCCUUCGAGCAUCCCCAGGGCCUCCCUGCAGACCUGCUCCCGGGGCAUUUUCAUGCUGUACAUCCAUGUAAGGUCACUAAGAUGUCACAUUGGACCAGUCUGGGUGAUUUCCAUAUAGAUAGAAAAAUAGGAAAAAAAAAAAAAAAGAAUAACCCACUCUCUAAUCAAUCCAAUAUAAGACUCCUGUUUGCUUCCUGUAUGGUUAUAUCAUGUGUGACAUUUACUCCUGUCUCUGCUGACACUCUCUCUUUGACUUCCAUGUUUCGGUUGGUUUGGCAUCCGCUCAUUCCUGUGCUGUAAUGUUUUUAUUUCCUCGUUAGGUGUUAGAAUUGCACUUAUUUUUGUAAAGGGUUUCUGCCUUGGAAGCGUUCAAUGCCAAGUGGGAAGAACGGCAAGGAAACCUGCGGAGGGUUGAGUCCUCCGAGUCUGCCCGUUCUCCGGUGUUCGUGUUGCGCCCUCCCCUCCCCUCCCCUCCCCUGAGCACGCGAGUCCUCAGCCGCUGGGACUCGGAGAUGGGAUACGCCGGACGCUGGCUGGGCCCCACGGGCGGUCGUCUGCACGCGCCACGCACAGAGCACCGGCCCAGAUCCGUGCGACAGGACCCCGUGUCUCGAUUCUGCCCAGGGGCCUCGGCACCGCUGCCGCCUCCUGCCCCGCACCAUGCAAGCAACUCAAAAUACUUAAAAAAAAAAAGUUUACAGGAUAGUUAUUUUCAGAUCUUUGCUUGAUCAGUAUUAAGAUAAGAAAAGUAUCUAACUUGCCGCCAUAAUUUAAAGCUUGGGGGGGUGGGGGUUGGUUUAUUGUGUUGGGGGGGGGGGUUGAGCAAUAUGUUUUUGCUGGACUCUGAAGUCUGAGACCUUCUUGUGCUGGAAACACAUGAAAGUUGUUGAAUAAUGACAAGCAGACUGUGCAUGUCUCUGAUGCUUUGUAUAAUUCAUACGUGGACAUUCGGUCUUUGGACAAUAAACAGUAUUAUCAAAUAACA
ensembl:lncRNA